GGGGCUAUGGUGUAAUGGUUAGCACACAGGGCUUAUAACCCUGGCCGUAAGGUGUAGGCUGAUUACCUACAAGUGGGAGUUCGAUCCUCUCUAGCCCUA
rnacentral:tRNA from 1 species